AGUGCUGGGAAACAGUGCUAAGAAGGAUACAGUGGCUAGAAGUCGUCCUGUCGUCCUGCCUCACAGUAACAUCGUUACCGAAUUCUCAGCAGGUGAACCAAAUGAAAUGGUCAACUGAAAGCCAACCAGGAGGGUGUCUGGCUGUUUUGGGGAAACUAUUCCUGACCUUAUUUUGACUAAAAAGUUGCCUGCUGUACCAGGGUCUUGUCCUGUCACUCUGGCUGGAAUACAAUGGCGUAAUCAUAGCUCACUGCGGCCUCCAUCUCCUGGGUUCAAGUGAUUCUCCUGCUUCAGCUUCCCAAGUAUCUGGGACUACAGGCAUGUACUACCAGAACUGGAUAAAUUUUUUAUUUUUAUUUUUUAUUAUUAUUUUUUUUGAGACGGAAUAUCGCUCUGUCGCCCAGGCUGGAGUGCAGUGGUGCAAUCUCGGCUCACUGCAAGCUCCGUCUCCCAGGUUCACGCCAUUCUCCUGCCUCAGCCUCCCAAGUAGCUGGGACUAAAGGCGCCCGCUACCAUGCUUGGCUAAUUUUUAUGUAUUUUUAGUAGAGAUGGAGUUUCACCACGUUAGCCAGGAUGGUCUCGAUCUCCUGACCUUGUGAUCUGCCCUCCUCGGCCUCCCAAAGUGCUGGGAUUACAGACGUGAGCCACUGUGCCCGGCUAUUUUCUUAAAAUUUUUAGUAGAGGCAGGUUCUCACUAUGUUGCCCAAGCUGGUCUUGAACUUCCAAGCUGAAGCAGUCCUCCCAUCUUGGCCUCCAAAAAUGUUGGGAUUACCAGCAUUUUUGUGAGUGAGCCACCGCACCCAGCCAAAAGAUGUAUUUUAAACCAUUAAGAACUCUGACCUCCUGAGAGUCUCCUCAGAGGGGAAUUUGGGUGCCUCUUAGAGGCCAGCCCUUUAAAUUACCCUCAGGAUAUGAGACAGGGUGAAGGGAGUUCUGACUGAAAAUGCAUAGUAGGCCCAAGGUGGUGCUUAUGUCUGUAAACCCAGCAUUUGGGGAGGCCAAGGUGGGCAUAUCACUUGAGGUGAGGAGUUCGAGACCAGCCUGGCCAACGUGAUGAAACCCCGUCUCUAUUAAAAAUACGAAAAUUAGCCAGCCAUGGUGGCGGGCACCUGUAAUCCCAGCUACUCGGGAGGCUGAGGCAGGCGAACUGCUUGAACCCGGGAGGUGGAGGUUGCAGUGAGAUAAGAUCGCACCACUGCACUCCAGCCUGGGCGACAGAGUGAGACUCUGUCUCAUUUAAAAAAAAAAAGAAAAAGGGCCGGGCACGGUGGCUCAUGCCUGUACUCCCAGCACUUUGGGAGGCCGAGGCAGGCAGAUCAUGAGGUCAAGAGAUUGAGACCAUCCUGGUCAACAUGGUGAAACCCCGUCUCUACUAAAAAUACAACAAUUAGCUGGGUGUGGUGGCGCACGCCUGUAGUCCCAGCUACUAGGGAGUCUGAGGCGGGAGCAUCAUUUGAACCCGGGAGGCAGAGCUUGAAGUGAGCCAAGAUCGCGCCACCGCACUCCAGCCUGGCAACAGAGUGAGACUCCAUCUUAAAAAAAAAAGAAAAAGAAAAAGAAUGCAUAGUAGAUGCAAUUCACAGAAAAGAAGAAAAGAUUCUAUUUACACUUUUUGUAUUUGAGCUUUCAUAGACUUUUUCUUCCCUUAACCACUGCAGCAAAAAAUCACCAUGUACCAACCUAUCCAAACUUAUCCAUGGAUGAAUCUAUCCAGAAGACGGGAGUUCCGAUGCUUGUCUUGCUCUGAAUGUCUGCUUGUCACCUGCUUAGGGUUAUCGACUGUGAUUCUGGGACUCAUUGUUGUUCUACAGGACCCCUCUGACUCUGUGGUUUUCUCUACUGGAUUAACAAUGAUAGCCAUAGGUGCUUUUUUUGUUGUCCUCACUGGAGUGACAGCCCUGUGUACGGUUACAGUCGACGAGAACUUGCAGAAAACCACGAGGCUAAGACUAGGAGUGAUACGAAAAAGCGGAAGUCUCCAAGGAACUACAGAGCCUUCCAUGACUCACUCAAUAAUCGCUAGCACCUCGCUGUAGUUGUACAUUGAACCCUGGCAUCUUCGUCUUUGGAACUAAGUCUCCUGAGCAUUGUUUUUAAAUAGAAAUAAAAUCUGGCUUUUAAAAAAACUCUUGUAAUCCCAGCAGUUUGGGAGGCCAAGGUGGGUGGAUCACAAGGUCAGGAGUUCGAGACCAGCCUGGCCAACAUGGUGAAACCCCGUCUCUACUAAAAAUGGAAAAAUUAGCCAGGUGUGGUGGCAGCCGCCUGUAAUUCCAGCUACUCUGGAGGCUGAGGCAGGAGAAUCGCUUGAACCUGGGAGGCGGAGGUUGCAGUGAGCCGAGAUUGUGCCACUGCACUCCAGCCUGGGCGACAGGGUGAGACUGUCUCAAAAAAAAAACCCUUCUAAUUUUAUAAUGUUCUUAUUCCCUAAAACAUAAGAUUCUGUCUACAGAAGGACCUUCAGGUCAUAACGAUGCCUGUCAAAUUCAUGCCAUCUGGCCGGGCACAGUGUCACUCACCUGUAAUCCCAGCACUGUGGGAGGCCAAGGUGGGUGGAUCGCUUGAGCCCAGGAGUUUGAAGCCAGUAUGGGCAACAUGGUGAAAUCCUGUCUCUAAAAAAAACAAAAUACAAAAAUUAGCCUGGGCAUAGUGGUGGAUGUCUAUAGUUCCAGCUACUUGGGAGGCUCAGGCAAGAGAAUCGCUUGAGCCCAGGAGGCGGAGGUUGCAGUGAGCCGAGGUUGUGCCACUGCACUCCAGCCUGGAUGACACAAUGAGACUGUCUUCCCCUCCCACUCAACAAAAAAUUACAUGUCGUUGCCGGGCGCGGUGGCUCACGCCGUAAUCCCAGCACUUUGGGAGGCCGUGGCAGACAGAUCACGAGGGCAGGAGAUCGAGACCAUCCUGGCUAACACAGUGAAACCCUGUCUCUGCUAAAAAUACAAAAAAUUAGCCAGGUGUGGUUGCAGGCGCCUGUAGUCCCAGCUACUCUGGAGGCUGAGGCAGGAGAAUGGCCUGAACCUGGGAGGCAGAGCUUGCAGUGAGCCAAGAUCACGCCACUGCACUCCAGCCUGGGCGACAGAUUGAGACUCCGUCUCAAAAAAAAAAAAAAAAUCCAAGUCGGCCGAGUGCGGUGACUCAUGCCUGUAAUCCCAGCAUUUUGGGAGGUUGAGGUGGCUGGAUCACUUGAGGCCAAGAGUUCAAGACCAGUCUGAGCAAUAUGGUGAAACCUCAUCUCUACUGAAAAUACAAAAACUAGCCAGGCGUGGUGGCAUGCACCUGUAGUCUCAGCUACUUGGGAGGCUGAGGUGCAAUAAUUGCUUGAACCUGGGAUGCAGAGGAUGCUGUGAGCCAAGAUUUCUGAAUCAGGUCUUGGAAAACAACCUGUCUUUCUCCUGCCAUUUUUCUCCCCAAGGCAGGAAUCUUCUCACCUUUCUUCUUGCAGUUGGCUAUAAAGUUCUGUGGCCAGGCACAGUGGCUCACGCCUGUAAUCCCAGCACUUUGGGAGGCCGAGGUGGGUGGAUCACGAGGUCAAGACCCAACCUGGUCAAUAUGAUGAAACCCCGUUUCUACUAAAAAUACAAAAAUUAGCUGGGCAUGGUGGCGCGUACCUGUAGUCCCAGCUACUCAGGAGGCUGAGGCUUGAAGCCAGGAGGAGGAGGUUACAGC
rnacentral:lncRNA from 10 species